AGCAGCCGCGGUAAUUCCAGCUCCAAUAGCGUAUAUUAAAGUUGUUGCAGUUAAAAAGCUCGUAGUUGAAUUUCGGGGUUAGUAGGUUGGUCAUGCCUCUGGUAUGUACUGGUCUCACUGAUUCCUCCUUCCUGAUGAACCUUAAUGCCAUUAAUUUGGUGUUUUGGGGAAUUUGGACUGUUACUUUGAAAAAUUAGAGUGCUUAAAGCAAGCUAACGCUUGAAUACAUUAGCAUGGAAUAAUGAAAUAGGACGUUCGAUCCUAUUUUGUUGGUUUCUAGGAUUGACGUAAUGAUUAAUAGGGAUAGUUGGGGGCAUUAGUAUUCAAUUGUCAGAGGUGAAAUUCUUGGAUUUAUUGAAGACUAACUACUGCGAAAGCAUUUGCCAAGGAUGUUUUCAUUAAUCAAGAACGAAAGUUAGGGGAUCGAAGACGAUCAGAUACCGUCGUAGU
rnacentral:rRNA from 1 species